GAUUGUGUCAGGAAUUCAGCAUAGCAAGUUUGUAUGAAGGUCGGGUUAUUAAAUGGAUACAUAGUUCAAUAGUAAUAUCCUCUAAAACGCUCUGGUGACAAACAAACUUUGCUGCCCUGUUUCCAAUUGUCCACAUGGCUAGGAGAACCAAUUCAAGCUGCUGCUCUGCAGGAUGUUUCAAGGAUGGGGUCCAACAACGCAGCAAGAGGCAAUCCGUGUGCGGGAGAUCUUCACCUCCUACUUCUUCGAAGAGGGUGCUGUUCCCUGGCAACACCAUAGACUACACUAUCCACAACCAAAGGCUCUUUUAAGAGCCAUUCACAUUGCAAUAAGAGUAUUCUUCCAUUUACUUAACUAUGUCAACUGCAGUUAUUCAAUUCCCAGUUUCUCUCCUUUUGAUUUCUAAUUCUCAGGUGAGGGUGCUGUUUAGGUAAGGGUGUGAUGUCUGUACAAAAACAAAACAGGCUAUUAUAAAUCACCCAUAUUGAAAAAAAUGUUGAACAAUUAGACACCCUAUAACCCACACACAUGUAUCAAUCUGAUUGAUGGAUAGUGUUGUGCAGGCUCAGGUGUAUAACUGUGGCUCCUUCCACCUUCAAAGAAUAGGCAAGAGGACCAACCAUGGUAAGACACUUCAUUAUUUCUAUAACUACGCUAUAUUGUUUGUCCUCGCGUGUCCGUUCAUGUUUUUCAGCAUAAAGUACUCUGCAGCCACUUAGUGUGGACACCAGUGAGGUCACACACAGUUUCCUGUUGAACACUGACUCUUUAACUACCUUAUUUUCUCAAUAACUCUCUCUCCUUUACUUCAUCCCUCUCUCCUCUUCUCCCUAAAUCCUCUAGGUUAUAUCAGCUGUGUCGGUGAACCCCUCCCGAAUCUGAACUGGAUGACACAUAGAGGACACAGCGUGAUCAGAGAUACGUUUUGAUGUGAGAGAGGAUGCCAACCCCCAUUCCCAUCAUCGCCACCUCACCCACUCUUAAGAUAACCUUCGGGCUGACUAGAGACACUAUUAUAUAAUUGUGAUGAAAUGAGAAAAUAUUUGAGUUGCACUGAUUCAUUAACCAUAUGCUGCCUUCCCUGCUCCUAAGUUCAUAACUCUUUCCCUUUGUCUUUUACACCUCUCGCCACCUUUCUUCCUGUGCAUUAUAAUGCACAACAGAUGUGCAUUGAAGUACAGAUUGAAUUUGUAUUUGUAAUAUUACAAUUAUAUUUGUAAUGCAUGUAUUUAUAACCCUUUGAUAAUGCACUUUCAAUAAAGUGUUUCACAUUCUCUACUGGUUAAAA